rnacentral:tRNA from 1 species
GCGAGAGUGGCGGAACUGGUAGACGCGCUGGACUUAGGAUCCAGUGGGAUUUCCCGUAGGGGUUCGACUCCCCUCUCUCGCACCA